rnacentral:rRNA from 1 species
AGGGCCACGAAACAGCCUGGCAUGUCUAAUAUAAGCUUUCAUUCUGUGAAACUGCAAAGGGCUCAUUAAAAAGUCACAAUGCAUUGGCGAUCAAUCCAAAGGAAUCCGGGGAUCUAUAGUAAACAGCACCGAACCAUUUGAAAAGGCGGGCGUAGUACAAAACCAAUUCAGGCAAGCCUGGGCCCCUGGAAGGAUUCACAAGGACAAAGGAUUAACAUGGGCAACAGCUGGGUGAUAAUUUCAUUUCCAGUUUUCUGAACCUAUCAGCUUUUCGACGGGUAAGGGUAUUGGGCUUACCGUGGCAAUGGACAGGGGGACGGAAGGAUUAAGGGUUUUGAUUUCCGGAAAAGGGAGCUUGAAAAAAUGGGCUACCACCAUCUUAAGGGAAGGGCAGCAGGGGCGCGCAAAUUUACCCCAAUCCCUGGCACAGGGGAGGGUAGUGACAAGAAAUUAACCAAUACAAGCAUUCUACUGUCUCUGUGAACUUGGAAAUGGAUUGG